rnacentral:rRNA from 1 species
UACAGAGGGUGCGAGCGUUGUCCGGAAUCACUGGGCGUAAAGGGCGCGUAGGUGGUUGGGUAAGCGUGUGGUGAAAGCCCGGGGCUCAACCCCGGGUCGGCCAUGCGAACUGCCCGACUGGAGCACGGUAGAGGCCAAUGGAAUUCCGGGUGUAGCGGUGGAAUGCGUAGAGAUCCGGAAGAACACCGGUGGCGAAGGCGGUUGGCUGGGCCGUGGCUGACACUGAGGCGCGACAGCGUGGGGAGCGAACAGG